AAAGAGAUUUGUUGGGCUCCGGGGUGCGCUCCCGAGGAGUUUAACUCUAAGGGAGGCGAGAGCAUUUCUGAGCAACAGAGCCCACUUUUGCCAUGGUGAUGUUGUGAGGAAGAUGACGGAGAAAGAAAUGGGUUUGAGGAGACUGGUGUCCUUUUGAACAGUCAGAAGAAGUGCUUUGUUCAAGAAUGUACGCCGGUAUAUGAUUAAUGUGGAAGUGGCCAUCAAAAACAAAUUGCAUGGGGAGGGUGAAGAGGAUCUUAACCCAGAUGCGACAAAUAAUUUGUAAUUCUUAUCCAGAAGAGAGCUGAGGAAGAGUCACCAAGAGCGGAGGGAGUCUCCUUCAGAGGGUGUUCAAAACGAUAACGAAUCUUGUAAAUAUCUUUACAAAAGCCGAUUCUCUCUCAGCGGGCAAACAAUGCACUUUGUAACGCAGCUACAAGUAAUCUUUAUACCCAACGUGGGGCUUGAACUCACGAUCCUCGAGACGAAGAGUCACAUACUCUCCCAAAUGAGCCAGCCAGGAGCCCCAAUGUCUUCACUUUUAUACAUCAAUAUGGAAACAAGCAUCUAAAACCCAGAAAGCCUUAAAGACAUUCACUAUUCGGUUAGGUCUUUGAACUUGGAUAUUAGUGGCGGUUGUUAAAUAACUCUCCAAUAAAUAAAAUGUGAAAAGAAAAAAUGUAACUCAGUAUUUGCAGCUUGUCUUAAGGUUCUAAAACUGGUUCUAAUAAAAUUAAA